rnacentral:rRNA from 1 species
UACGGAGGGCGCAAGCGUUAUCCGGAUUCACUGGGCUUAAAGGGUGCGUAGGUGGCUUGGUAAGUCAGUGGUGAAAUCUCCGGGCUUAACCCGGAAACUGCCAUUGAUACUAUCAGUCUUGAAUACCGUGGAGGUCAGUAGAAUAUGUCAUGUAGCGGUGAAAUGCUUAGAUAUGACAUAGAAUACCAAUUGCGAAGGCAGCUGGCUACACGAAUAUUGACACUCAGGCACGAAAGCGUGGGGAUCAAACAGG